ensembl:lncRNA
GCGGUAGUAGCUCAUGACGCACUCAAAAGAGCUUGUCAGGUAAUGGUGUGCAAAUCAUCCCAUGCUGAUGUAAGUGGAAAGCGGGAAUCAGGAGCCACGGUAGAUGCGACUCCGUGUGAUAGGCUACUGCUGCCCACUCACGCAUACUACUACGGCUUUAAGAAGACGUCCGGUCUAUAUUUACCUUACGGUUCGGUUCCCUGCCUCGUGACACUAGACGGAAUCCUGGACGACUCACAAGGGCUGUUCCCAGACGGAGAACCUGACCAGAGACGGGGUAGAAAAGCAACAAGGAACAGAAGGAGGCCGAAUAUAACCCGGGCACUGCAAGAGGCUGCUUCUUAGAAACAGUGGGUAUAGAACUACUGUUCCCAGUAGUCUGACUUUCCCACCGUGUCUAUUCC